GUGGUCGGGAAAAUGCCUUCUUUUCUUGACGAAAGUGAGAUUUGGGUCGAGAAAGUCUCAUCUAUGGAGGAGAAAAGAGGUCCUGAGGGGAAGAAACGGUCGCAUUUUUGGGAGAAAAGUGGCGUUUUUGAGAGGAGAGAUCGUAGUUUUGGAGAAGAGUGGUAUGGUGUGGGAAGAAAAAUGGUCAUGUCUUUGGGAGAAAAGUGGUAUUUUGCAAGGAAGAGCUGUAUAUUUUCAGGAGAAAUGUGGCAUGAUGCGCGAAGGAAGGGCCCUAUGUUCUGGAGAAAAGUAGCAUUAGGGGCAGAAACUGUCCUGUUUUGGAGAGAGACUUUGCAUGUUGUGGAGAAAAAAGGGAGCGCGCGAAGGAAACGUCGUCUUUUUGGAAAGCAAACAGCUUUGUAUUUGGCAGGCGAGAAGUCAUGUUUUGUGGAGAGCAGUGGUAUUUAGUGGAGAAAGAGUCUUGUUUCGGUGAGACAAGGGGUACUUGGGGGAGAAAAUGUCCUAUUCUUUCCGACCCAGAAGUGGAUUUUCUCCCCCAGAUCCUACUUUUCGCCCCGCAGUUAAGCAUCAUCUCCCACAAAAUACCACCUUUCAAACGAAAAAGAAGCCCUCAGGAGCACGCUUCACAAGCUCAAGACUGCAGCACGGCAAGCUGGCAAGAGAGGAUUCUGAACUGCCAUCCUUUACACUUCCAGCCACAGCGGGCUCUGUCACGUACAGCUGCGUAGUAACAGACGGGCAGUGGCAGGGCCCUUUCUUGCCGCUCCUCUGAUACUUACGACCAAAUCUAGAAAGAAAUUGAAGCAGUUGUUCUCUGUAGAAACUAUGCCUAACCUUGUUCCUUCUACCAGCAGACAAGCCCAACACAUGCCUGCCAGUCCAAUGGUGGGUAGAAGUGUUUGGUUUGUUGUUUUGGUUGCCGUUUUUUGGUUUUUGUUUUUUUUUUUUCUGGGAGGGGGGGGGGAGAAAAUGUCGUGUUUCCGAAAGAAGUGUAGUAUUUUGGAGAGAAAACGUUUUGUUUUCGUUUGAAAGGUGGCAUUUUGUGGGAGAUGAUGCUUAACUGUGGGGCGAAAAGUAGGAUCUGGGGGAGAAAAUCCACUUGUGGGGGGAGAAAGUAGGUAUUUUGCGGGAGAAGAGGUCAUCCUUUGCGGAGAAAGUGUUAUCUUUUGAGGGAGAAAAGAGGUAUUGUGGUGGGGACAGUGUCGUAUUUGGAGAAGAAGAGGGGUAUUUGUGGGGAAACUGUCUUAUUGUCGUGAGAAGGGUGGUAUUUUGGUGGAGCAAAGGUGAUGUGUGGUGUAGAGAAGUGGUAUUUGGG
ensembl:lncRNA